AGUGACUUUCACCGUCUUGGCGA
rnacentral:siRNA from 1 species